rnacentral:rRNA from 1 species
CCUACGGGUGGCAGCAGUGGGGAAUAUUGGGCAAUGGGCGCAAGCCUGACCCAGCAACGCCGCGUGAAGGAAGAAGGCUUUCGGGUUGUUAACUUCUUUUCUCAGGGACGAAGCAAGUGACGGUACCUGAGGAAUAAGCCACGGCUAACUACGUGCCAGCAGCCGCGGUAAUACGUAGGUGGCAAGCGUUAUCCGGAUUUACUGGGUGUAAAGGGCGUGUAGGCGGGAGUGCAAGUCAGAUGUGAAAACCAUGGGCUCAACCUAUGGCCUGGAGUUGAAACUGUAGUUCUUGAGUACUGGAGAGGGAGACGGAAUGCCCAGUGUAGCGGUGAAAUGCGGAGAUAUUAGGAGGAACACCAGUGGCGAAGGCGGUCUGCUGGACAGCAACUGACGCUGAGGCGCGAAAGCGUGGGGAGCAAACAGGAUUAGAUACCCUUGUAGUC